AAAAUCCCUGUCUUGAUUUACUUUAUUCUAUGAGCUAAAGAAGAGAAAGGAAGAGAAGCAAUUCAGUUCAAAGCCGAUUGGAAGAGUGAUGAUAUAGAUAUGGGAUCACCAAGCCAUGACUUUAAGAAGAAAUACCAGAGUAAUCCAGAGCUGAGCAAGAACACUAAAUUUGUAAUUAAACUGGUGAAAGGCAUUAUAUAUAUGAACCAUGUAAAAUACAUCCAUAUUUUAGUUGCUAAAUAAAUGUUUACUGGUA